rnacentral:rRNA from 1 species
UACGAAGGGGGCGAGCGUUAUUCGGAAUUACUGGGCGUAAAGCGCGCGUAGGCGGCUUUGCAAGUCGAGUGUGAAAUCCCCAGGCUUAACCUGGGAACUGCAUUCGAGACUGCAUAGCUAGAGUAUGGGAGAGGGAAGUGGAAUUUCAGGUGUAGCGGUGAAAUGCGUAGAUAUCUGAAGGAACAUCAGUGGCGAAAGCGACUUCCUGGACCAAUACUGACGCUCAUGUGCGAAAGCGUGGGGAGCAAACAGG